UACACUCCUGCGGGAGGCAGCAGUGGGGAAUUUUGGACAAUGGCGAAAGCCUGAUCCAGCAAUGCCGCGUGAGUGAAGAAGGCCUUCGGGUUGUAAAGCUCUUUUGUCAGGGAAGAAACGGUGAAAGCUAAUAUCUUUUGCUAAUGACGGUACCUGAAGAAUAAGCACCGGCUAACUACGUGCCAGCAGCCGCGGUAAUACGUAGGGUGCAAGCGUUAAUCGGAAUUACUGGGCGUAAAGCGUGCGCAGGCGGUUUUGUAAGUCUGAUGUGAAAUCCCCGGGCUCAACCUGGGAAUUGCAUUGGGGACUGCAAGGCUAGAAUCUGGCAGAGGGGGGUAGAAUUCCACGUGUAGCAGUGAAAUGCGUAGAUAUGUGGAGGAACGCCGAUGGCGAAGGCAGCCCCCUGGGUCAAGAUUGACGCUCAUGCACGAAAGCGUGGGGAGCAAACAGGAUUAGAUACCCCAGUAGUCCC
rnacentral:rRNA from 1 species